AUUUCAGAGAGGAGCUGAUGGCCCCAAGCUGGCGGCUUAUCUACUUAUGUUUGCUGAGGAAUGGAGAGCUUCAGAUAAUCAGGCACCUCUACUGUCUCCCAGGACAGAGUCAGACAACCAAAGACAUGGGAAGAGCCCGAUGAACCUGAGAUGGCAUCUCAGUAAUUCAUUCUACAGUGAAACCCAGCCAUCACCAUGGGGAGGAGCCCGCCUCUGGAACCAGACGGCUGGUCAACCCGCCCCUCGCCAGCUCCCUCUGAGACCCUGGGGGAAUCACCAACCGCCGCUCUGCAAGCAGGAACGAGGGCAGCACUUCCACACAGGGUUCUUAUAAGGACUGAAAAGCUUAAUGA